UACGUAGGGUGCAAGCGUUGUCCGGAAUUAUUGGGCGUAAAGAGCUCGUAGGCGGUCUGUCGCGUCGGAUGUGAAAAUCCAGGGCUCAACCCUGGACCUGCAUUCGAUACGGGCAGACUAGAGUUCGGUAGGGGAGACUGGAAUUCCCGGUGUAGCGGUGAAAUGCGCAGAUAUCAGGAGGAACACCGGUGGCGAAGGCGGGUCUCUGGGCCGAAACUGACGCUGAGGAGCGAAAGCCAGGGGAGCAAACGGG
rnacentral:rRNA from 1 species